rnacentral:lncRNA from 1 species
UUGCUUCUAUGGGUCAUAGCACAUAUGAACAUGAAUCAUUUUCUUCCUCUUCUUUGUCUAGGGUGCUAUACUUAACCUUAAGCUAAGUAAGUAUUUUAAAUACGUAUAGAAUUACGUUUAUUUGGUGACUGGAUUUUACUAAAUCAGUGUGUGUAAGACCAUAUAACAUAGCUGCUUUAUUAUUUACAUCUGUGUCCUUUAUGAAUCUGAUGCCUAGGAGGUUGUAUUUAGUAAGAAUCUACUUAAAAAAUCAGGUUUCCUUUUCUUAUCAAUGGUCUCGAUUUUAUUUCACUUAAAUUUGUAAUUGUAGAAUGUCCUUUAAUGUUAAUGUGUACAAUCGUAUUAGAUGUUUAAAGAAUACUUCUUUAAGCAUCUAGUUUGCAUUUUUUAAAAAAGACAGUGUUUAGUCAUAGGUUAGUUUAUAUUAUCUUUUAAUAUUUUAAGACAUUGCCUUCCUAUGUAAUAUAUGUGAUACUGGUAUAUUAUAAAAGUCUGUUUUUAUUACAUAGACAUUUGUGUUAUUUAAUAAAGUAUAUUGUGUUAUAUCACUGUGCCUGGGUCAAUGACUGCUUUUGCACAAUAUUCUUAAAAUAUUCAUUAGUUAGAUAAAUAUGUGCUAUGUUAUGUGUUGCAGUUAUGUGUUUAGAAGUACAUAUAAGAAGUAGAGGUGGAGAUCAUAAAUAAUACUUUGAUAAAUAAUUACUUCAACUCUAUUUCAGCUUUUAGGUAGCAGAAUGAUUGCAGAUCUUUAUGAGUUUCUUAUUUGAGUUUUAAAAAUGGUCUAAAUUUGUAACCUAGCCAUAAUUUGUUGGCUAACACAAUUUGCUAAAGUUUACACAGUGGUGUAUGUGUGCAUAAAAUAAGUAAUCCACUAUUUUUACCAUCUAAAUUGUUUGAUUCCUAGGAUUCUUAGUGAUAUCUCUUACAUUUGUCUAUGGUGUAUUAAAUCUUGCAAAUUCUGAUGGAGUUCACUAUUAUCACUCAGGACAUUUUUUGUUAUCAGCACAUAAAGCUAUAGAUUUCUUCAAUUAAAUGUUCUAGCGUAGAAACAACUAUAUUUUUCCACAUGGGAAUAAUUUUAGUCAUUUUAUAAAGGGCUUAUAUUUAUAUUAAUUUAUUAACAUAGCUAUUGAUUUCAAGAUUGAGUUCUUUUUGUUUUUUCCUUUCCUGAAUUUUGACAGUUCCUAAGUAUAUUAACUAUUCCUUUUUGCUGCUUCGUCUUGGAAUUAACAGUUUUUAUUUACUAGUGAGGGACCCUAUAACUUGAUAGAACUCCCAUAUCACCCACUGAUUUUAACAAGCAAAUUCUGCUAUUCCUCUCUGACCCAUCACUAACACAUGAGAAUCAUGUGUAAACUAAGUGAUUCUGAAAGGUGUCACUAAUGAAGGAAUCAGUAAGGAUUAGAUCAUUUCCAAACAUCGUAUACCUCAAUAUUAUUUUCUAGCAGAUCUAGCAUAUAAAAUCUUUCUUUUCCCUUUUGCAUUUAUUAUUGAGCUAAAAGAUAACUUGAGUUUACAGUUAAUUGAAAUCAGCUACAAACUUGAACAGUAGCAAUAUAGCGAACUUUAUUUGCUUGAAAUACAUAUACAUACCAACAAGAACCACCUUAGUACAUGAAGGUGAAAGGUAAGAAGUUAUGAUUUACCUUUAUAGUCAUCAUAGUGUUUGAUUCUAGUUAUACACUAGAAGUCUUAGUUUACAGGUUAUUAUGGGACAGACUUAUAUAUGCAAUAAUUAUGUGGUAAUUUGAUGUGAACUAGGAAAACAUUAAUACCAUAAUGUUUUACCUAUUAAACACCCAAAUCGAACUUGGGCAUUUAAUAGGUAAAACAAGUUUAGGCAAACUGAACUUGCUGAAAAACCCUAAGUUAAGCAAAAAAGACUAUUUAACCAAAAUUGAGUCCAGGUACUUAGUUUUCAUUUUCUUUCCUUUUUUUUAACUGUCAAUUUGCACAUUUUUAAGUUCAUUGAUCUAGAACCCACAACAAAUUUUUAUUGGGGAAAGCUGCCUAGAUGAAUACACUGAAGUAUCACCUAGAAAGUAUUAGCUGAUAUUUUUCAAGCAAAUGACAACCUAUAAAGGUUGAAUACAAGAAUUUAAACAGAACAGCAAACUGGUGGUACUCAUUUCCAAACAAAAGGCUGCCGCAUCUGUUACUCGUACUUUGUGACCCUGAGAUAACAAAGAUAGAGUAAAAUUAUAUUGAAUGGAUCUUCUUGUUGAAGCAAAAAAUGUGAUUCUUUUUAAAUUUUCCAGUAAAAGAUGAUUUAAAUAUUUCUUUCUGAAGAAUAUGCCCUUAGCUAUCUAGAAAUCAAAGGAAUAUGCCCUUAGCUAUCUAGAAAUCUCAACUUUCUGAUAACUCAUAAAUGCUUAUACUUUGAAGGUUCCUAUAACUAUGUGUUUAAUGAAAUUGGAGUUUUAACUAUUGAAAAAUAAAUUGAAUUAAGAAGAAAGAACAUAAAAGUGUGUGGGCUUGCCACUUAUUCUUAGGUUGUUUGAUAUUAGCUCUGUAUUAUCUAUUAUUCUUAAUGCCAGAAAAAUAGGUAUUUAAACAUUUUAAUUGCUUUAAAUAUAUUUUAGGAUAGUUUAUAAUAUUGGCACAUAAAGUACUGUUACUACUCUUUCAUUUUAUUUUUUCCUAUACCUAGAAUUAUUACAGUAAACAUUUUCAUUCAAAUCCAUCUCUUAAUUCUAAAUGAAAGAUUUUGGAGAAGUAUGUAAGUUUAUUUGGUUGAUAAGAAAAUUGUAGAGGAAGAAGUGUAUAAACUUAUGACACAAUUGUGUUUUAAAUUUCUUUAUACUUGAAUAACUUAGCCAAGUUGCUAAAUUUUCUGAAACUUUUGAUUCCCAGAAUGGGUCUUUGGGAGAUAGAGUUUUGUAGCAUGUUACGAUUUUUUUUACUAUAAAUGUAGGUUUAUAGUUCCUUUUAUCCGUGAAAAUAAAUUUUUUCUUUGCAUGUUGUUUACUAUAGUAACUCUUUCUCCUUUUUUUCUCAUAAAGGUUAUUGAGUAGUAAUUUGUACUUUAUUCAAGUAAUAUAUGUCCUAUAAAAUAUCCUCCUUGGUUUCUUAAUUAUGGAUUUCUCAACUUUUUAAGUUUUAAAUCACCAAGAGUAUAUAUAUACAGAGAAUGUAACAGAGAAUGUAACAGAUUGGUUAAGUAUUUUUUAACUUAAAAAACCACAAGGAAAAUGAGGAAUAUAAUCCUUUCUAUAAAAUGUGUAUAUCUUUGUUAUUUGUUGUUAAAUUUUGGUCUUGUUAUUCCAACUGAUGCAAAAUUCUUUUACAAAACACUGAAAUAAUACAGAUCUUUCUUCAUUGUCAGCAGGAUGAGAUUGUCUGAAACGAAGAAUAGGUAUGAUAGUUUUCUUAGACUUUGUACAUCAUAGGUGGCAAAAUACUAUCAAAACAGUGGUUCAUAAGCUUUAAAAUGUACUAGGAGGUUCUUUGAAAAACUAAAUAACUGAAAAUGACAGGUAAAUUUUGAGAAAAUUUAUAUUUUAGAAAACAGUGUCAAAUUCUUUGAAUGGUUUUUAUUUGCUCUGGAUUAUGUUAGCAUGCUAUAAACAUUAGAAAGUUUAUUGCUGUCCAACUUAGAGAAAGAGAGUUAUGAGGUAUAUAAAUUUUAUAGAAUGAAGUGUAGUGUAGCCUAGUAGAAUUCACUAGAUUUCUGAAAUUUUUAAAAUAAUCACAAUGUAAUAAAUUGAAGUCAUCUUAAAUUAUAUGUAUCUAAUUAAAUGUUUUAAAACUGUUUAAUGGGAAAAUGAUUAUUGAAGUUCAAAUUUGAAAUUAUUAAUAUUUGUUAGUUUUGAAGACAUAUGGCUAUACACAUACAUUUAUUCAUAUGCUCUUACCAUUUCUACUCUCAAAAUGUUCUGAAUGAUACUUUGUUAAUUUUAUUGUUUUUAUUUUGUUUUUCCUAAAAAACUUACUUCAGGUGUACAUUGUCUUUUUCAUAAACAUUCAUUUAACUUAAUAAUCUUGUCAGCUAAGGAUAGAAGAAAAUAGUAUUAUAGUUGAAAUAUAUAAUAGUUUGCUAUUUUUAUCUGAAAAAAAAGUGUGUUUUUUUAAAAUUUUAUUUAGAUAUUCCAUUUAUCUCUUUACCCUGCAGGUGUGAUGAAUGCAGACUGUGCUACCAUUUUGGUUGUUUGGAUCCUCCUUUGAAAAAGUCUCCUAAACAAACAGGCUAUGGAUGGAUAUGUCAAGAGUGUGAUUCUUCAUCUUCUAAGGAAGAUGAAAAUGAAGCUGAAAGAAAAAAUAUAUCUCAGGAGCUCUGCAUGGAACUGAAAAAUCCAAAGAAAUGAAGGGUUUUCUGUAGUGUUUUUGAAAAGUUUGCAACUUAUGUAGUAGCAGAUAAAGUUUCUAACUGUAAAAUGUUAAAUUGUAAAAUUUUCAUUUGCAAUAUGUUCUCAAUAAAGUCACUGAAAA